AAUAGAAAUCCCACAUGUAUUGUAUGGAGAAUGGCAUGAUGAACACCGUCUGCGGAGAUCCGUUCCAAAGGUCCAACAAUUUGUGGAAGAAGUGGUCCCACAGUACAGUCCUUCAGACUUCAAAAGUCAUUUCCGAUUGUCCAGGGGACAUGUGGAAGAUGUGAUGACGACUAUUGGCCCGUUCUACUGGAACAGACAGCACAGUAAAGUGCCGCUUCAAAACAGUGUUCUUGCCUGUCUGUGGACUCUAUCAAACCAGGAGUCCUAUAGGGGGGUUGCUGAUCGUUUCAAUAUCACCAAAUCCACUGUCUGCCUGCAUCUCCAUGAAUUCUGUAGUCUUGUCACCACAUAUUUGUCUCACCACAUUUCCUGGCCCACAGGGCAAGCCCUACAUAAUUCUGAGUUAGGAUUUUGUGCAGCAGGAUUUCCCAACACUGUCUGUGCGGUAGAUGGAUGCCACAUUCCUAUUGUGAAACCACACUGUGAGAACCCAGUAGCAUACAUCAACAGAAAACAGUUUUAUUCUGUUGUGCUUACUGGGUUCUGUGACAGUAAACGGAGAUUCUGUCAUGUUAAUGUGGGCCACCCUGGUAGCUGGCA